UUCCAAAGGUGGAAUCUUCUAGUUC
rnacentral:siRNA from 1 species